GAUGAACGCUGGCGGCGUGCCUAAUACAUGCAAGUCGAGCGAACAGACGAGGAGCUUGCUCCUCUGACGUUAGCGGCGGACGGGUGAGUAACACGUGGAUAACCUACCUAUAAGACUGGGAUAAAUUCGGGAAACCGGAGCUAAUACCGGAUAAUAUAUUGAACCGCAUGGUUCAAUAGUGAAAGACGGUUUUGCUGUCACUUAUAGAUUGAUCCGCGCCGCAUUAGCUAGUUGGUAAGGUAACGGCUUACCAAGGCAACGAUGCGUAGCCGACCUGAGAGGGUGAUCGGCCACACUGGAACUGAGACACGGUCCAGACUCCUACGGGAGGCAGCAGUAGGGAAUCUUCCGCAAUGGGCGAAAGCCUGACGGAGCAACGCCGCGUGAGUGAUGAAGGUCUUCGGAUCGUAAAACUCUGUUAUUAGGGAAGAACAAAUGUGUAAGUAACUAUGCACGUCUUGACGGUACCUAACAAGAAAGCCACGGCUAACUACGUG
rnacentral:rRNA from 1 species